rnacentral:rRNA from 1 species
AUUGAACGCUGGCGGCAUGCCUUACACAUGCAAGUCGAACGACAGCACGGGUGCUUGCACCUGGUGGCGAGUGGCGAACGGGUGAGUAAUACAUCGGAACGUACCUUAUCGUGGGGGAUAACGCAGCGAAAGCUGUGCUAAUACCGCAUACGCCCUGGGGGGGAAAGCGGGGGAUCGCAAGACCUCGCGCGAGUAGAGCGGCCGAUGCCUGAUUAGCUUGUUGGUGGGGUAAAAGCCCACCAAGGCGACGAUCAGUAGCUGGUCUGAGAGGACGAUCAGCCACACUGGGACUGAGACACGGCCCAGACUCCUACGGGAGGCAGCAGUGGGGAAUUUUGGACAAUGGGGGCAACCCUGAUCCAGCAAUGCCGCGUGAGUGAAGAAGGCCUUCGGGUUGUAAAGCUCUUUUGUCAGGGAAGAAACACCGGCUCUAACACAGUCUGGGAAUGACGGUACCUGAAGAAUAAGCACCGGCUAACUACGUGCCAGCCGCCGCCGUAA